rnacentral:rRNA from 1 species
GACAGAGGCCUCAAGCGUUAGGCGGAAUCACUGGGCUUAAAGGGUGUGUAGGCGGUUGUUUAAGUUUGGUGUGAAAUCUCGGGCUCAACUGGGAGGGUGCGCCGAAUACUGAAUGACUUCGAGUGCGGGAGAGGAAAGUGGAAUUCCUGGUGUAGCGGUGAAAUGCGUAGAUAUCAGGAGGAACACCGGUGGUGUAGACGGCUUUCUGGACCGUAACUGACGCUGAGACACGAAAGCGUGGGUAGCAAACAGG